AGGAACCAGGUUUAGAGCAGACUCAUCGCAGCUCUCGCUCCCGCCCAGCCGACCAUGGAUUGCAAAGCCAUCGGUAUUGCAUUUGCUGUUGGAAUUGUCAUUGGAGCUGCAAUUGUAGCAGCAGUAGGUGGUAUGCCGGUGUCCCUCUCUGCAGUGGGGAUUAGCAAGACCAAGGGUCUUGCCAUCACUUUCACGGCUGGUGCAAAAAAAUUGGCCUGACUCUGCCCUGCAAGCUGCAGCCAAUUGCAUAAAAACUCUCAGUGAUCCAUGCCAGGGAAUAAAAGCAAGAUUUCUGCCUUCCAAGCAGCCUGAUUUGUCUUUAAAAGGCAGGUGCUAAAAAGUCCCAUGA